CCCCGAGUGGGGCCAGCCCUGCCUGAAAAGGCCAUCAUCACAGAGACAGGAGCAGGGCUGGCAGAGAGAUGUUGACAAGGGCUUGGAGGUGGGAGGUGGGUGCUGCCGCCGGGACCAGUGACGGCCAGUGAGGACCACUCUCUCUGCACGUGUCCUCUGGCCCUGUGCAUGGAGCCCGGCCCACCCACUGGGAGCGGAAGUGAUUGCAUUGUUCUCAGAUCUGGUCCGUAAACAGUCUCCAGAAGGAUCCUCUACGUUCUCCUCCCUCUACCCCCAGCAGCUUCAGGAGUGCAGAGCCACAAGGCUGCAGGAGCCUGGGUCCCCAGUCGCCUGGAGGAGACCCUGCCCACACCAUACUCAGACCACCCUCCCAGAAUGGUGACUGUGCAGAGAUGCACGCAUGUCGGCUGCACCCCGCCAUCUUGGGGCACGGAAGUCCUGACCCCACAACCUCAGAAUGGGCCUGUCUAGAGGUGGAUCUUUAAGGAGGUACCAAGUUAAGAUGGAAUCAUUAGGAUGACCCUGAGCCCAUCCAACUGGUGUUUCUAUAAGCGGAGAUCAGAGCACAGACGCUGACAAGGCAACAGCCACGUGAGGACACAGGGAGAUGGCGGGGUCUGCAAGCCCAGGAAAGAGGCCUCAGGAGGAACCCGCCCCGCGGCACCUUGACCUCGGACUCUCUCUCUCACGCUGUGGUACUUUCUGACAGCAGUCCAAGAAGACUGAACUCGUCACCUCCCGCUCCGUUUCCCACCACCUCUGGCCUGCCUGGCCUGUUUCCUCCAGCCUCCCACCCCUCCUUGUCAGCCAGUUGAAAAUGCCCCUUUUCCCAGGACUGGUCUCUCCAUGGGCACCCCUGACCUCCAAAGGGAGUCCCACUGUGCCUCGCUUUGGGGGUAAUCAAGAUUGCCCCUCAGCCUCUCAGGCCCCUCCCUGCUCUUGGGUGCUGGAUGCCCUGGGGACCCUUCAUCAAGUCGCCCUGCUGUGGCUCUAGCUGGGCAUGAACAGGUGCUGUCUCCAGAGCCCGAGGUCCUCAGAGGGGCCAGGCCCUCUGUCGUGGGAACAAGGACCCUAAGGCCCGGGAGGGGAGUGGCACACGGAGAACAGGCUGGGGACGUGGGCGUGAGCAGCUGGGCAUGAGUCCUGCCCGCUUUGUCCCCUGGGGAGCCUGGCCUGGGAAGCAUUAGCUUGGCCAGAGUCUCCCUGAUGGGAUUGGAAGCCCAGCCCUGCCUGGGAAGGCGCCUGUGGGCUGAUGGGGAUGGGGUGGCCGGGGCCCUGGGCUUCCAGGAUGCGUGAAGCUCCUGCCCACACAGGGAGUCAGGUUCCUGUCCUGUGCACCUGGAU
rnacentral:lncRNA from 1 species